UCCACUUUAUGAGAUUCUGCACUAGUUCCAAGACAGAUUUCAAAGAAGAUCUGAUCCAUGAACAUUCUGAAGUACGUCCAAGAACAAUCUUCAAGUACAACCCAGAAAUUCAUGUGACAUUCAUCUGCAAAAGCCCAGAUGCACAUCUGACCGUUCAUCAACAAGAACCCAGAUGAAGAUCAUGAAGAACACAACAACAUUCUGAAGUAUUCUCAAGAACACAACAACAUUCUGAAGUAUUUCAGUUUGCCCAGAAUUUCAAGUGAAAGUUGGUGGGUCCCAGGACACGUGGCAUAAGACCAGUGGUCACUCUCCAACGGCUAUAAAGGCUCAAGAACUCUAUAAAUAGAGAUCAAGACCUCAGCAUAACACACACCUUUGCAAAGCAUACAAGAAAACAACAUAAGAGUGUUUGAAGCUUUAGCAAAAAUAUUGAUCAUCACAAAGAUUCCAAGAAGUCUUCAAAAGUGUAAAUCAAUAUCUCUCUUAUCUUUUCAAAGAUAAAUUUCAACCUCCAUUCUUCUCUUGUCUGAUCUAUAUCAUUCAAACCUCCAUACAAAUUGUAAAGAAAAGUCUCAUCUAGCUUUAGGGGUACUAAAGUGUUAGUUUGAGCAGAAAGGUAUAAAGUCUAAGUGGGUAACUUAGCAAGAAAGGUGUAAGCCUGCUGAGGCUAAGAGAAUACAGUUGUUGUAAUUGUUCAGGUGAACAAGGUUGUAAGGUGCAGGAUUUGAGAAGUUAUCUCAAGCAUCAUAGUGGAAAAUCUCACAAGAUUGUGAGGAGUGGACUAACCCACAUUGGGUGAACCACUAUAAAUUUAUGUGUGUUCUUCUUCUCUUUACUAUUUACUUACAGUAAACACAACACACACAAACACAUUUAAUUAUUCAAAUUGUGUUUAUACUAAUACUUCAGAACGUUCUGAAGUUUGUCUGUUAACUUAACCAUUCCAAGUUAUCAACUUGAGAAUAACUUUUAAGUGGCAGGAUUAAUUUUUAAAGGGUCACAAUUCAAACCCCCCCUUCCUUGUGACUAUUUUAUCUACUUCAAUUGGUAUCAGAGCACGGCUCUAAGGGUUUGAACACUUAAACAAGUGUUAGAAAAAAGAUUCAGGAAGUAUGUCUAAAGUCAAAUACAUAGCUGAAGGAGGAUCAUCAAACAGACCACCACUUUUUGAUGGCUCAAACUACUACUUCUGGAAAGGCAAGAUGGAACUCUUUCUCAGAUCUCAGGACAAUGACAUGUGGACAGUAAUCACAGAUGGAGACUUUGUUCCACUAACCAAAGAAGGGAUCAUCAAAGUUAAGAGUGCAUGGUCAACAGAUGAAAAGGCUCAGGUAUUGCUAAACUCUAAAGCUAGACUCUUUCUAUCAUGUGCACUAACCAUGGAAGAAAGUGAAAGAGUUGAUGAAUGCAAAAAUGCUAAAGAGGUAUGGGAUACCUUGAAAGUACAUCAUGAAGGUACAUCUCAUGUCAAAGAAACCAGAAUUGACAUUGGAGUCAGAAAGUUUGAAGUCUUUGAAAUGAGUGAAAAUGAAACCAUUGAUGAGAUGUAUGCCAGAUUUACUACAAUAGUAAAUGAAAUGAGAUCUCUUGGAAAAGCAUAUUCCACUCAUGAGAGAAUCAGAAAAAUAUUGAGAUGUCUUCCAAGUAUGUGGAGACCUAUGGUCACUGCAAUCACUCAGGCCAAAGAUUUGAAAUCUAUGAACCUGGAAGAUCUCAUUGGUUCACUGAGAGCUCAUGAAGUUGUACUUCAAGGAGACAAACCAGUAAAGAAGGUAAAGUCACUUGCCUUGAAAGCCUCUCAGCAAACCUCAUCAGUAACUGAAGAUGAUUUGCAAGAAACACAAGAAAUAGAAGAAGUUCAUGAAGAAGAAGCUGAAGAUGAACUAGCACUAAUCUCAAAAAGGAUACAAAGAAUGAUGAUGAGAAGAAAUCAAAUCAGGAAGAAAUUUCCCAACACAAGCAACAACAACAGAACUGAAACUGACAAAAGUCAGGUCACUUGUUUUGGCUGCAACAAAACUGGACACUACAAAAGUGAAUGUCCUGACAUUAAAAAGGUGCAAAGAAAACCACCUUUCAAGAAGAAAGCUAUGAUCACCUGGUAUGACAUGGAAGAAACAGAAUCACAAGAAGAUGAGGAAGCCAACUUAAGUUUGAUGGCUCAAACAGAUGAUGAAGAAGAGGUAAUUGUCUACAAAACUCAUCCCUUAUAUAAAGACCUUGAAAGUAAACUUGAUAGCCUUUUAUAUGAUUCAAACUUCUUAACUAAUAGAUGUCAGUCAUUAAUCAAGGAACUUCUUAACUAAUAGAUGUCAGUCAUUAAUCAAGGAACUUCUUGUAGAAUCUUCAUUUGCAUCAAUGGAUCUUUCAAUUGUUGCUGUCUGAUCAGUGUUGGAGUUUUCUUGUGAAUCUAAGUUCUCUUCAUCUGAACUUAGUUCUUCUACAUCAUUUGUAUUGUUAUACGUGUUUCCUGCAGGACAAAGAGGUAAAGAUGCAACAACAUUUUCAGUUAGAGGCAUUGUUUUCAAAGGAUUUCUUGUGUCAAGGAAUCCAUCAUGAAAAGGAUAAUGGUUCUCAUUGAAGACUACGUGUCUUGAGAUGAAAAUUCUGCCAUGUGAGUUGACACAUUUGUACCCUUUAUGUGCAUUGCUGUAUCCCAAAAAAACACAUCUAGUUGUGUGAAACUGGAGCUUGUGUUUGUUGUAAGGUUUGAGACAAGGGUAGCAGGCACAUCCAAAUGGUUUAAGGACAUUGUAGUCUGGUUCUUUCUUGUGAACCAAGAAGUAGGGACUCUCAUUGUUAAUGACUGGUGAUGGUAUACUGCGGUGGAGAAUGCUUCCCACCAAUAGGACAAUGGCAUUUUUGCUUGAGCUAACAGAGUUAGACCAAGUUCAACAAUAUGCCUAUGCUUUCUUUCUGCUCUACCAUUCUGUUGAGAAGUGUAAGGACAUGACAUCCUAAAUUGAAUUCCUGUAUCUAAUGCAACCUUUUGAACAGGUUUGAAUUCACCUCCACCAUCACACUGUAUAAUUUUUAUUCUUUUGUUAAAUUGAUUCUCAACUACAUUUUUGAAUUGCAUAAAUGCUUGAAUGGUUUCAGAUUUUUGUUUGAGAGGAUAAAUCCAAGUGAACCUACUAAAAUCAUCAACAAAGUGCACAUAAUACUUAAAAGCAGAAAUUGAAUUAAUUGGUGCAGGGCCCCAUACAUCAGUGUGAACUAGUUCUAGAAAUUCCUGAGCAUGAGAGGAAGAUGGUUUAAAAGGCAACAAAUGAGACUUUCCUAACUGACAAGCUUCACAAAACUCAAGUUGAUCACUUGGUGAAGUCUUUAUAUUACAAAUUUUUAACACUCUGUCUAGAGCUUUAUUGUUAGGAUGACCAAGCUUCCUGUGCCAAUUUUCUUUCACUGACAAGUAUGCACAUGCGUCUUUAUUGGUUUGAGUAGCAUCAUAAAGUUGAUAUAAUCCAUCUUUACGUAUCCCUUUUAGAAGAACCUUCCCUGUCACUUUGUCCUUCACAGAGCAACAAUCAUGAUCAAAUUCAACAAUAGCAUUAUUAUCAGAGGUUAGCUUUGACACACUUAACAAGUUUUUGGUGAUUUGUGGUACAUAUAAAACAUCAUGCAGAUUGACAGUGUUAAUUUUGGAGGAACCUGAGGCAACUACUUUGAGUUUUUCCCCAUUUCCAACCAUCAAUGAAUUCUUACCAGUGUGUUCAACAAGAUCUUGAAAUCUAUCAGUUUGGUGUGUAACAUGAUUGCUGGCUCCACUGUCAAAAUACCACUCAUAAUCUUGGCUACUGUAGGGUGAUGCUACAAAUGCAUUGUGUGUGCCUUGCUUCUCAUUUUCAGAGUUUGAGUAAUUUGUGCCUGAGUAGGACUUGUCAAAGCGAUAAAAGCAACUUAUGGCUGUGUGACCAGUUCUGGUGCAUACCUGACAAACUGGUUUUGAAUUAUUGACUCUACCUUUGCCUCUGCCACCUCUCAUACCUUUGAAGUUUGAUCCUCUCCAAUUGCCCCGAGAGUUGAACCUGUUUCCUCUAAAUUCAGUCUUGUUAGCAACAUUAGCAGUGGCAUUCAGGUUGAGAUUGUUGAGUUGAUCCAGUCUACUUUCAAAAGCCAAUAAUUGAGCUUGCAAUUCGAUCCAGCUUAUAUCAAUUUGAUCUGAUAGCUUGACCACAAUGGGAUUGUAAUCCAUGUCUAAUCCAUUCAGAGUUUGGAUUACAAGAUCAAAAUUUGAAAUUGCAGAUCCUGCUAGCUUGAGCUUAUCUGCAAGCCCUUUCAUUUUAAUCAAAUAUUCCUCCAUUUUCAUCUCUCCUUUUUUAGAACUGUGAAAUUCUGACUUAAGAUAGAUAACUCGAGAUCUUGUAUGAGCACCGGGGCAAGACCUUGAGCAGAAAGGUAUAAAGUCUAAGUGGGUAACUUAGCAAGAAAGGUGUAAGCCUGCUGAGGCUAAGAGAAUACAGUUGUUGUAAUUGUUCAGGUGAACAAGGUUGUAAGGUGCAGGAUUUGAGAAGUUAUCUCAAGCAUCAUAGUGGAAAAUCUCACAAGAUUGUGAGGAGUGGACUAACCCACAUUGGGUGAACCACUAUAAAUUUAUGUGUGUUCUUCUUCUCUU
rnacentral:lncRNA from 1 species